AAAUCUGAUACAAAUGUAUCAUUUCUCAAAUGUCCUGAAACGUGUGUUUUCGUAGUACAUGGUCCCUGUUCAAAUCAACUGAAUAGACCACUUAAAUAACCCCCUAAUUCCUCCCCUAGUACUGCUGAGGUACCGUUAUUUUCCUCUGCACAACAGUGAGUCCUGAGCAUGCAGUACAGUACAAUGCAGACCAGGCUGACAGCCAGGUGGCGGAACCCAGAACCCCGUGUAUGUCUGACAGUCCAGGUGGCGGAACCCAGAACCCCGUGUAUGUCUGACAGUCCAGGUGGCGGAACCCAGAACCCCGUGUAUGUCUGACAGUCCAGGUGGCGGAACCCAGAACCCCGUGUAUGUCUGACAGUCCAGGUGGCGGAACCCAGAACCCCGUGUAUGUCUGACAGUCCAGGUGGCGGAACCCAGAACCCCGUGUAUGUCUGACAGUCCAGGUGGCGGAACCCAGAACCCCGUGUAUGUCUGACAGUCCAGGUGGCAGAACCCAGAACCCCGUGUAUGUCUGACAGUCCAGGUGGCAGAACCCAGAACCCCGUGUAUGUCUGACAGUCCAGGUG